AAGUCGUAACAAGGUAACCGUAGGUGAACCUGCGGUUGGAUCAUUACCAAUAAUAAAUGCGGACGUAGCGUGGCCGGGGACUCUUGGAGGAACGCGGUUCAUCCGGGUUCCGGGGGAUCCAAGGUCUCUCGGUUAAGCGCGAACCGACGAAAAAAACCUCAAUGUGAAUCGUGCUGUCUCUGGCGGCCGGGGCAGAGUGGGACGCGGAGCAAUCUGCGGCCCCACUUUGGCCUGUCAGUCUGUGGGUUUGCGCCCGCGGACCGUGGACAAACCGCCAACCGUGCUUGUAAACGUUUAUUACUUUGUCUGACUUUUAAAUUUUCUUUGUGCCUAGUCUGGUCACGAAGGAAUAAAUUUAAACAACAUACAACUUUUGGCAACGGAUCUCUUGGCUCUC
rnacentral:misc_RNA from 1 species